ACGAACGCUGGCGGCGUGCUUAACACCUGCAAGUCGAACGGAAAGGCCCUGCUUUUGUGGGGUGCUCGAGUGGCGAACGGGUGAGUAACACGUGAGUAACCUGCCCUUGACUUUGGGAUAACUUCAGGAAACUGGGGCUAAUACCGGAUAGGAGCUCCUGCUGCAUGGUGGGGGUUGGAAAGUUUCGGCGGUUGGGGAUGGACUCGCGGCUUAUCAGCUUGUUGGUGGGGUAGUGACUUACCAAGGCUUUGACGGGUAGCCGGCCUGAGAGGGUGACCGGCCACAUUGGGACUGAGAUACGGCCCAGACUCCUACGGGAGGCAGCAGUGGGGAAUAUUGCACAAUGGGCGGAAGCCUGAUGCAGCAACGCCGCGUGCGGGAUGACGGCCUUCGGGUUGUAAACCGCUUUCGCCUGUGACGAAGCGUGAGUGACGGUAAUGGGUAAAGAAGCACCGGCUAACUACGUG
rnacentral:rRNA from 1 species